GGAGAGGUCGCACAGUCUGGUUUAGUGCCGCGGUUUGCUAAACCGUUAAGGGGGUUAAUACCUCCUUCCUGGGUUCGAAUCCCAGCCUCUCCGCCA
rnacentral:tRNA from 1 species